CCCUCUUCUAUAAAUGGUCAGCUCAUUUUCACUUUUUUAUGUUUCAGCAUUGGUGUCACCCCUCAGAGACUCCAUUAUCCUCUGGCCAUCACAGCUAAAGCAGGAUUUCCCCCUUUGUUUCUUUCACAAUACUCAGAAAACUCGAAAUUCUUUUACAUCCCUUUAUCUGGACUUCAAUUUCCCUCCCACCCCAAAGCACUGCAUCACCCUAGUCCUAUUGCAGAGUCCGGAACAGAGGUUCUCAGAACUAUCCGUUGAAACACAGGAGGAAGGGGGAAUUCCAACUUCCAGCAGAGCGAAGAUGAGAGAUGAGCUGGUUGCAAACAUAAUGACCUCAUACUCUACUUGAGAGACCAAACUGCGGUCAUCGGGUAUAAAGCCUGGAAACCUCACCCCACGCCUCCAGGCUCAGAAGAAGCACCUCUCGGCCUCCAGGAGCUUCCCUCUACCAGCCGUUCUAACUUCUCUCCUACUUUACCUGCUCCAGCUCCUUCCAGGAACGAGGUCUACUAGGGCUUCUUCCAUAAAGAAAACACAAAAACCCCCUCAGUGGAGAUGUGGCAUCCUCUGUCCCUCUACCGCCAGGCAUAAGAGUUCCCCUCAGUAGCUCUGUCCACUUUGCCACCCACCACAAACAAGUUCCAACAAUGGCAUGGAGGGUACCAAGAGGUUAAGUGUGUUCAAAGCCCAGGAAAUUAUUUUGAAGGGGAUUAACAGUAUUGUCUUUUACUGUAAUAUUUAAAAUUUUUAUUGCUGGGCAUGGUGGCACACACUUGCAAUCCCAACACUUGGGAGGCUGAGGCAGGAGGAUUGCCAUCAGUUGGAGGCCAGCUUGGGCUACAAAGUGAGUUCAAGGUCAACCUGAACUACAUAGUGAGACCCUGUCUCCAAAAUAAAUAAAUACAUAAUUUAAACAUUCAGUGUAAGGAGAAGUCAUAAAAUGUAGGAUCUAGAUGGCAUUCAGCAAGGAAAGAAGGUAUUCAUAAUAAUGACAGAUGUGAGC
rnacentral:lncRNA from 1 species